rnacentral:rRNA from 1 species
AUACGGAGGAUCCGAGCGUUAUACGGAUUUAUUGGGUUUAAAGGGUGCGCAGGCGGCCAUUUAAGUCAGCGGUUAAAUCGUGGGGCUCAACCCCAUUCUGCCGUUGAUACUGGGUGGCUUGAUUGCGGUCGAGGUUGGCGGAAUUCGUUGUGUAGCGGUGAAAUGCAUAGAUAUGACGAAGAACACCGAUUGCGUAGGCAGCUGACCAGAUCGCAAAUGACGCUCAUGCACGAAAGUGCGGGGAUCGAACAGGAUUAGAUACCCUGGUAGUCCGCACAGUAAACGAUGAAUACUUGUUUUCGGCGAUAUAAUGUCGGAGGCAAAGCGAAAGCGAUAAGUAUUCCACCUGGGGAGUACGCCGGCAACGGUGAAACUCAAAGGAAUUGACGGGG